UACCAUGCAGUCGAACGGUGAAAGAGAGCUUGCUCUCUGGAUCAGUGGCGAACGGGUGAGUAACACGUGAGCAAUCUGCCCCUGACUCUGGGAUAAGCGCUGGAAACGGCGUCUAAUACCGGAUACGAGCUGCGAAGGCAUCUUCAGCAGCUGGAAAGAACUUCGGUCAGGGAUGAGCUCGCGGCCUAUCAGCUAGUUGGUGAGGUAAUGGCUCACCAAGGCGUCGACGGGUAGCCGGCCUGAGAGGGUGACCGGCCACACUGGGACUGAGACACGGCCCAGACUCCUACGGGAGGCAGCAGUGGGGAAUAUUGCACAAUGGGCGCAAGCCUGAUGCAGCAACGCCGCGUGAGGGACGACGGCCUUCGGGUUGUAAACCUCUUUUAGCAAGGAAGAAGCGAAAGUGACGGUACUUGCAGAAAAAGCGCCGGCUAACUACGUGCCAGCAGCCGCGGUAAUACGUAGGGCGCAAGCGUUAUCCGGAAUUAUUGGGCGUAAAGAGCUCGUAGGCGGUUUGUCGCGUCUGCUGUGAAAACCCGAGGCUCAACCUCGGGCCUGCAGUGGGUACGGGCAGACUAGAGUGCGGUAGGGGAGAUUGGAAUUCCUGGUGUAGCGGUGGAAUGCGCAGAUAUCAGGAGGAACACCGAUGGCGAAGGCAGAUCUCUGGGCCGUAACUGACGCUGAGGAGCGAAAGGGUGGGGAGCAAACAGGCUUAGAUACCCUGGUAGUCCACCCCGUAAACGUUGGGAA
rnacentral:rRNA from 1 species